rnacentral:tRNA from 1 species
UGAUGGUUUAACCCCUUCCCUUGUUA